rnacentral:rRNA from 1 species
UACGUAGGUGGCGAGCGUUGUCCGGAUUUACUGGGCGUAAAGGGAGCGUAGGCGGGCUUUUAAGUGAGAUGUGAAAUACUCGGGCUCAACUUGAGUGCUGCAUUUCAAACUGGAAGUCUAGAGUGCAGGAGAGGAGAGUGGAAUUCCUAGUGUAGCGGUGAAAUGCGUAGAGAUUAGGAAGAACACCAGUGGCGAAGGCGGUUCUCUGGACUGUAACUGACGCUGAGGCUCGAAAGCGUGGGGAGCAAACAGG